GAACCACGAUGUGAUGAAAUUUUUUUAUUAAAUUGAAAAUAUGUGAUAAUAAAAUAUCGAGCUUUUUAACACUGAUUUUU